AUUUUUUUCAUUGAAACUAUUGGUGUCAUUCAGUGUAACCAUAGAUAAAAUAAGACAUCUAAGGUUACACCAAAGUGAUGUUACCAUUGGUGUUAAAUAAUAGUGUGAUUAAUAAUUGAAAUUUUAGGCGGUUGAAUAAAAAAUAUAUGGGCGAGCUUUUAAAUCUAAAGGAAAAGCAAUGCGGGAAUAAUUGUCUUGAAACUAAACAAGCUGAAGAAACACAGAAAUACUCCCACAAAACACAAAAAGACACUCACGAAAACACUCUCCCCGCUCACAAACACUCAGCAUCGGGUCUUCAGCUCAGACCUAGAGGAAAUUGGGUCUAAAAGAGGCAAGCGGGUUUCAAUUACGAGUGUUUCAAACUCUGAGUCAGGGCCAAUAAUCCGGAAGUAUUGAAGCUACUAUGGACCAGGGGAGCUGAAAGGCCUCCAUUGGAACCUCCAGAUGAUAAGAGCAUAAGAACCCUCUAUGUGAACAAGAUGGAUGGAAGAAUUACUGAGCUGGAUCCAAGGGAUAAAUUCCAUGCUUAUGGCGAAAUUGAGACUUUAAAAAUGGUCUCGCAAGCUUGUGCUUUUAUAACAUACAUGAGAGUGCAGAAAAAGCAGCUAAAUAAUUCUCAAACAAGUUGAUUAUAAAAUGUUUGUGGAUGAAGCUGAUGUUAUUAUUUAAGUAUUUCACCAUUUCUUUUGGCAGGAGAGGGUAUCUUUUUAUCCCAAAAAGAAUCUUCUAGUGGCUCAAAUGUGAGCAAGUUUAAAUUUUAUGAAUUUGGUAUACAGUUCAACUUCUUAAAAUUUACAAUUUGGUAUUUAGUUUCUUAAUUUCAUGGGCCUCGUGCUUUAUUUCGAAUGAAA